rnacentral:ncRNA from 1 species
GGUCACGAGUUCCAGCACAAAGCCCCGGCUAGCUGGACGGCAACCCUCCUCCUGCGGCGGGGUGCUCCGGGUGAAGACCAGGCUCCUCGCCACUUGGUGCGGGAGCAAGCGCGGG